rnacentral:rRNA from 1 species
AUUGAACGCUGGCGGAAUGCUUUACACAUGCAAGUCGAACGGUAGAGGGGCAACCCUUGAGAGUGGCGAACGGGUGAGUAAUGUAUCGGAACAUGCCCAGUCGUGGGGGAUAACGUAGCGAAAGUUACGCUAAUACCGCACACGAUCUAUGGAUGAAAGCGGGGGAUCGCAAGACCUCGCGCGAUUGGAGUGGCCGAUAUCAGAUUAGGUAGGUGGUGGGGUAAAGGCCUACAAAGCCGACGAUCUGUAGCUGGUCUGAGAGGACGACCAGCCACACUGGGACUGGGACACGGCCCAGACUCCUACGGGAGGCAGCAGUGGGGAAUUUGGGACAAUGGGCGCAAGCCUGAUCCAGCCAUCCCGCGUGCAGGAAGAAGGCCUUCGGGUUGUAAACUGCUUUUGUACGGAACGAAACGCGCUGAGCUAACACCUCGGCGUAAUGACGGUACCGUAAGAAUAAGCACCGGCUAACUACGUGCCAGCAGCCGCCGUAA